rnacentral:rRNA from 1 species
CCCUUAGAUGUUCUGGGCCGCGCGCGCGCUACACUGACAGAGCCAACGAGUUCUUCACCUUGGCCGAAAGGUCUGGGUAAUCUCCAAAUUUCGUCGUGAUGGGGAUAGAUUAUUGCAAUUAUUAAUCUUCAACGAGGAAUGCCUAGUAAGCGCAAGUCAUCAGCUUGCGUUGAUUACGUCCCUGCCCUUUGUACACACCGCCCGUCGCUCCUACCGAUUGAAUGGUCCGGUGAAGCGUUCGGACCGUGGCCUUUGGACGGUUCGCCGUCUGUUGGCUGCGGGAAGUUCGUUAAACCUUAUCAUUUAGAGGAAGGAGAAGUCGUAACA